rnacentral:rRNA from 1 species
GUGGGGAAUAUUGGACAAUGGGCGAAAGCCUGAUCCAGCCAUGCCGCGUGUGUGAAGAAGGUCUUCGGAUUGUAAAGCACUUUAAGUUGGGAGGAAGGGCAGUAAGUUAAUACCUUGCUGUUUUGACGUUACCGACAGAAUAAGCACCGGCUAACUUCGUGCCAGCAGCCGCGGUAAUACGAAGGGUGCAAGCGUUAAUCGGAAUUACUUGGCGUAAAGCGCGCGUAGGUGGUUUUGUAAGUUGGAGGUGAAAUCCCCGGGCUCAACCUGGGAACUGCCUCCAAAACUGCAUGACUAGAGUACGGUAGAGGGUAGUGGAAUUUCCUGUGUAGCGGUGAAAUGCGUAGAUAUAGGAAGGAACACCAGUGGCGAAGGCGACUACCUGGACUGAUACUGACACUGAGGUGCGAAAGCGUGGGGAGCAAACAGGAUUAGAUACCCUAGUAGUCC